rnacentral:rRNA from 1 species
UCAUAUGCCCAUGUCACCCAGAACGUGCCCGAUUUCAUCAGAUAUCCGACGCUUAGCCGGUUUUGAGGCUGGAUAGUGCUUGGAUGGGCGACCACCAUGCGCACCAGAUUGUCAAAGGCG